rnacentral:lncRNA from 1 species
CAUUGGGGAACACUGAAAGGAACAGCAUUGGGGAGCACGCUGAAAGGAACAGCAUUGGGGCGCACGCUGAAAGGAACAGCAUUGGGGAGCACGCUGAAAGGAACAGCAUUGGGGAGCACGCUGAAAGGAACAGCAUUGGGGAGCACACUGAAAGGAACAGCAUUGGGGAACACUCUGAAAGGAACAGCAUUGGGGAACACGCUGAAAGGAACAGCAUUGGGGAACACGCUGAAAGGAACAGCAUUGGGGAACACGCUGAAAGGAACAGCAUUGGGGAACACUGAAAGGAACAGCACUGGGGAGCACACUGAAUGAACUGUAAAGCAGAGCGAGGUAGACUUAAGAGUGGUCAUCAAGAGGACCGUGAUAACUAAGACCACGAGACAGUUUUAGAUAACAAAGCUGCAGCCCUUUUGAUGCUGACAAAGAGUGUGGAUCUUGUGAAAGACGCUCAUGAAGAAAUGGAGCAGGUGAGGGCACUUACCCAUCUCUCAUGGAACCAACUUCAUGAGAACUGAUCACGAAGGCAGGAGUUCCCUGCAGCUUGACUGAAUAAUCCCUUGCUCCUGUCCUACCCAGCAUCUCCCACUGUGCUUGGCUGGUGUCUUAGCACCACCUCUGUUCCUUGCUGGACAAGCAGAAUGAGAAUGUUGGUUUUGUAGCUAAUAGUGAAGCAGGUGGCUGAUGGUGGUGGUGU